rnacentral:rRNA from 1 species
UACGUAGGGGGCAAGCGUUGUCCGGAUUUACUGGGCGUAAAGAGCGUGUAGGCGGCCACGCAGGUCCGUUGUGAAAACUGGAGGCUCAACCUCCAGCUGUCGACGGAAACCGUAUGGCUAGAGUCCGGAAGAGGAGAGUGGAAUUCCUGGUGUAGCGGUGAAAUGCGCAGAUAUCAGGAAGAACACCAAUGGCGAAGGCAGCUCUCUGGGACGGUACUGACGCUGAGACGCGAAAGCGUGGGGGAGCGAACAGG